CCUACGGGAGGCAGCAGUGAGGAAUAUUGGUCAAUGGGAGAGAUCCUGAACCAGCCAAGCCGCGUGAGGGAAGACGGCCCUAUGGGUUGUAAACCUCUUUUGUCGGGGAACAAAACCCGGGACGUGUCCCGGACUCCGUGUCUCCGAAGAAAAAGCAUCGGCAAACUCCGCGCCAGCAGCAGCGGUAAUACGGAGGAUGCGGGCGUUAUCCGGAUUUAUUGGGUUUAAGGGGUGCGUAGGCGGUCCGUUAAGUUGGCGGUAAAAUUGCGGGGCUCAACCCCGUCGUGCCGUUGAAACUGGCAGACUUGAGUUGGCGAGAGGUACGCGGAAUGCGCGGUGUAGCGGUGAAAUGCAUAGAUAUCGGGAAGAACUCCGGUUGCGAAGGCAGCGUACCGGCGCCAGACUGACGCUGAGGCACGAAAGCGUGGGGAUCGAACAGGAUUAGAUACCCUAGUAGUC
rnacentral:rRNA from 1 species